rnacentral:rRNA from 1 species
CUUGUUUACCCGCCUAUAUACCGCCGUCGUCAGCCCACCCUGUGAAGGUCCCGUAGUAAGCUUAGUUGGUAUGCCCCAAAACGCCAGGUCGAGGUGUAGCGUAUGAAAGAGGAAGAAAUGGGCUACAUUUCCUAAACAGGAAACACGGACAAUAAACUUAAAUGCCUAUUAGAAGGAGGAUUUAGCAGUAAAUGAGGAACAGAGCGUCUCACUGAAAUCGGCCCUAAAGCGCGCACACACCGCCCGUCACUCUCCCCAAGAUAAGAAAUUCUUAUGCCUAAUCAAUACAUAUAUAUAAGGGGAGGCAAGUCGUAACAUGGUAAGUGUACCGGAAGGUGCGCUUGGACAAAU